UACGAAGGGGCCAAGCGCUAUCCGGAUUUAUUGGGCUUAAAGGGUUCGUAGGCGGAAUAUUAAGUCAGUGGUGAAAUCCUACAGCUCAACUGUAGAACUGCCAUUGAUACUGAUGUUCUUGAGUAUAAUUGGAGCUGGCGGAAUGUGUCAUGUAGCGGUGAAAUGCUUAGAUAUGACCAAGAACACCGAUCGCGAAAGCAGCCAACUAAGUUGUAACUGACGCUGAGGAGCGAAAGCGUGGGGAGCGAACAGG
rnacentral:rRNA from 1 species